CAAUUAUACAGCGAAACUGCGAAUGGCUCAUUAUAUAAGUUAUCGUUUAUUUGAUAGUACCUUACUACUUGGAUAACCGUGGUAAUUCUAGAGCUAAUACAUGCUAAAAAUCCCGACUUCGGAAGGGAUGUAUUUAUUAGAUUAAAAACCAAUGCCCUCUGGGCUCUCUGGUGAUUCAUGAUAACUUCUCGAAUCGCAUGGCCUUGCGCCGGCGAUGGUUCAUUCAAAUUUCUUCCCUAUCAACUUUCGAUGUUUGGGUAGUGGCCAAACAUGGUUGCAACGGGUAACGGAGGGUUAGGGCUCGACCCCGGAGAAGGAGCCUGAGAAACGGCUACUACAUCCAAGGAAGGCAGCAGGCGCGCAAAUUACCCAAUCCCGACACGGGGAGGUAGUGACAAUAAAUACUGAUACAGGGCUCUUUUGGGUCUUGUAAUUGGAAUGAGUACAAUUUAAAUCCCUUAACGAGGAACAAUUGGAGGGCAAGUCUGGUGCCAGCAGCCGCGGUAAUUCCAGCUCCAAUAGCGUAUAUUAAAGUUGUUGUGGUUAAAAAGCUCGUAGUUGAACCUUGGGCCUGGCUGGCCGGUCCGCCUCACCGCGUGUACUGGUCCGGCCGGGCCUUUCCCUCUGUGGAACCCCAUGCCCUUCACUGGGUGUGGCGGGGAAACAGGACUUUUACUUUGAAAAAAUUAGAGUGCUCCAGGCAGGCCUAUGCUCGAAUACAUUAGCAUGGAAUAAUGAAAUAGGACGUGCGGUUCUAUUUUGUUGGUUUCUAGGACCGCCGUAAUGAUUAAUAGGGACAGUCGGGGGCAUCAGUAUUCAAUUGUCAGAGGUGAAAUUCUUGGAUUUAUUGAAGACUAACUACUGCGAAAGCAUUUGCCAAGGAUGUUUUCAUUAAUCAGGAACGAAAGUUAGGGGAUCGAAGACGAUCAGAUACCGUCGUAGUCUUAACCAUAAACUAUGCCGACUAGGGAUCGGACGAUGUUAUUUUUUGACUCGUUCGGCACCUUACGAGAAAUCAAAGUGCUUGGGCUCCAG
rnacentral:rRNA from 1 species